rnacentral:rRNA from 1 species
GACGAACGCUGGCGGCGUGCUUAACACAUGCAAGUCGAACGGAAAGGCCCUGCUUUUGUGGGGUGCUCGAGUGGCGAACGGGUGAGUAACACGUGAGUAACCUGCCCUUGACUUUGGGAUAACUUCAGGAAACUGGGGCUAAUACCGGAUAGGAGCUCCUGCUGCAUGGUGGGGGUUGGAAAGUUUCGGCGGUUGGGGAUGGACUCGCGGCUUAUCAGCUUGUUGGUGGGGUAGUGGCUUACCAAGGCUUUGACGGGUAGCCGGCCUGAGAGGGUGACCGGCCACAUUGGGACUGAGAUACGGCCCAGACUGCUACGGGAGGCAGCAGUGGGGAAUAUUGCACAAUGGGCGGAAGCCUGAUGCAGCAACGCCGCGUGCGGGAUGACGGCCUUCGGGGUGUAAACCGCUUUAGCCUGUGACGAAGCGUGAGUGACGGUAAUGGGUAAAGAAGCACCGGCUAACUACGUG